UUAUCGCUUGCGAUAGAUGGCGACUGGCGAACGGGCGCGUAACGCGUAUGCAACCUACCCUCAACUGGAGAAUAGCCCAGAGAAAUUUGGAUUAAUACUCCAUAGUAUUACAGAUUCGCAUGUUUUUGUAAUUAAAGUUUUAAUGGUUGAGGAUGGGCAUGCGUGACAUUAGUUUGUUGGUGAGGUAAUGGCUCACCAAGACUACGAUGUCUAGGGGUUCUGAGAGGAUGAUCCCCCACACUGGUACUGAGACACGGACCAGACUCC
rnacentral:rRNA from 1 species